GAUGAAGAACGCAGCGAAAUGCGAUAAGUAAUGCGAAUUGCAGAAUUUCCGUGAGUCAUCGAAUCUUUGAACGCACAUUGCGCCCAUUGGUAUUCCGAUGGGCAUGCCUGUUCGAGCGUCAUUAUCCUCCCUCAAACCCUGGGUUUGGUGUUGGACUCUGGGGGGCGUGCUUGGCCCCCCUGGUCUCAAAGACAAUGACGGCGUCCGUGGGAGCCUCGGUGCAACGAGCUUUUUUUCGAAGCACGCGUCGAGUGUCCUCCCGGCGGGCCGGUCGAGCCUUUUUUUCUUUUGAAGGUUGACCUCGGAUCAGGUAGGAAUACCCGCUGAACUUAAGCAUAUCAAUAAGCCGGAGGA
rnacentral:misc_RNA from 1 species